rnacentral:misc_RNA from 1 species
CGUAAAUAUAUUGUACUGAACACCAUUGAUAAUGUACGAUUUUGAAAAAUAAAUCGAUAUUACUUUUGUGUCAGAGAUUUGCUACAUCAAAUAAAUUAGUGCUCAUCAACAAAUGAGAAUGUUUUACUCUAUGUUACUAUCCCUCCUAUUUUUGGGGAUUUUCCUUGCCUUAGAUGUGAGGGCCAACUCCGACUUUAAAGCACCUACAUCUGAAGACCUAAAGACAAUAAAGACGGAGAUUCAUGCAUCAAGGGGGGAGCCCUGUAAGGUGGAAGUAAAAUUGGAUGAUUCGUACAUUCAAAAAUACUUAACGGAGAAUAUGAUUGUGAGUAGUAGCUCAAAGUCGAAGCCUGUUCGUUGUUCCGAGCGUGUAUUGGAGGCUAGACGGAGCGUGAAAGAGCCAAGCUUGGGUGUAGAGCCUACUGUGGGCAUGGGAACUGCUCUCAUAUUGUUUAUUGGAGUAGGGACCUUUGCUGUGGGCAUUGCGUAUGGAUUUCAAAUGGUGAGGAAACAUGUUUAUCAUGAUGAGGAUAACUUGGACACUGCCUUUGAUGCAGGUGGAAAAGUAAGUAUUGGACUUACAGCGACUACCAUUGUCUCUCAAUGGACUUGGUCUGCAACCCUUCUCCAAUCCUCAACUGUGGCAAGCAAAUAUGGAAUUAGUGGCCCAUAUUGGUAUGCUGGCGGUGCUGCCAUACAAAUAAUUCUGUUCUCAAUUCUCUCCAUCAUGCUCAAAACACGAGCUCCAGGAGCAAAAACCUUCCUUCAAGUAAUUAAAGCUCGUUUUGGUAAACGAACGCAUCUCGUCUUUUGCAGUUUUGCUUUCUUUACAAAUUUAAUUGUCAUGAUGUCACUUACUAUUGCUGGAACUACUGUAUUGAAUUCUCUGGUGAAGGGCCUCAGUCCAGAGCUUUCAGCAAUGCUGUUGGCUGCCGUCAUUGGAGGCUACACACUCAUUGGUGGUCUUGGUGCAACGUUUUACGUAUCUUAUUUCAAUACUAUGUUAAUUUUUGUUCUCAUAAUCAUGCUCGUGGUUGAAGUGUUUUAUAACCCUUAUGACAAUCCCAAUAAUCCAUUUGGAUCUGCUGCCGCAGUUUAUGAGUAUAUUUCCUGUUGGAAAUCCCCUGAGGGUAACAAGGACGAAAGUUACUUGACUUUCUUUUCCACUGGUGGGAUUGUUUUUGGAAUUGUUAAUAUAGUUGGAAACUUUGGAACUGUUUUUUGUGAUCAGGCAUACUGGCAAAGCUCCGUUGCUGCAAAACCCCUUCAAGGUGUUUGGGGAUUUAUUCUGGGCGGUCUCACGUGGUUUGCUGUUCCCUUUUCUCUUGCAACCACGAUGGGAUUAGCUUAUUUAGGUCUAAGCUCAGCUCAAGGAGCACCUAUGCUGACUGAUGAAGAUGUAGCAAAAGGACUCACUGCUCCAUUAGUUGCACAAAAGUUACUGGGGACCACUGGGGAGUACUCCAUGCUAUUUUUAAUUUUAAUGGCAGUAAUGUCGACAGGAUCCGCCGAAGUGAUUGCGGUUUCUUCCAUUAUAAUUUAUGAUGUCUAUCAAACAUAUUUAUAUCCAUUUAGAAAAGACUUAAAGGAUGGUCAAUGUAUUAUUUGCGGAAAGUUUUACCGAGGAAGCUCUUCUGUUGAUCUUUGUGUAUGUCCAAGUUGUAAAAAAUGCAGUGGAUGUCAUAAUGACAACUUGAUCAGAUCUCAGUCAGAUUCUCUUGUCAAACCACCUUUCACUUGUAGUGUUCACAAAGACUAUAAAGCUUAUCAGGAAAAGCUUUUAAAUUAUAAGAAUUGGUGUAUCGUUGCUUGUACUCUUCUAAGCAUACCCCUAUGUCUCUUUUGUUGGGCCGUGAAUCUCAAUCUCACAUGGACGUAUUAUUUCACUGGUAUUCUUAUCUCUUCGUCUGUAUUUCCUAUUGCCCUCUCAAUUUUGUGGUCUAGAACAACCUCACAUGGGGCUGUUGGAGGGAUUGUAGGUGGCUGUCUCUGUGGAAUGUCAAGUUGGCUAACCUAUGCGUCUCAGUUUGAAGGCGGACUAUCAGCAGAUACAUUUUUAAAAAAUACUGGCGAAGAAUUCCCCAUGUUGUUAGGAAAUAUAACUGCCAUUGGAUGUGGUGCCAUGUUCGCCAUAGGAGUAAGUCUAUUAACUCGACCUAAGAUGUCAGAGGAGGAAGUUGAGAUGGAAUGGGAAAAAACGCGAGACAUUGAUAAUCCUUUGUCCCCAUGGGUUGAAAUUUACAAGGGAGAGUUAAAUUUAGAGGAAGGAAAUCACUUUCAUGAGAGACCUGCACUGAACUUAAUCAUACGAAAAUUCAGAGCGGCAAAAAUUACAGCGUAUAUCGCUGGUCUAUUUUUUACAAUUAUGUUCAUAUUCGUAUGGCCUGGAUCGAUGUUGAGUCUGGGUGUUUUUGAUUAUUCAGCUUUCAAUGCCUGGACGAUUGUAAGCAGGGGUUGGGGAUUCAUUGCCGCCACUUUUAUCAUUUUAGUUCCACUCAUUCAAGAGGGCUUAGCCAUUUGGAAGCAACAUAAAUCUAAUGUUGCAAAAAGUAUGAAAAACAAUAACACUUAAACAAAUGGAAACAUUGUCAAAGAGAAUACCAAAAACUGGAAGAAUAGCUGCAUGGACAGAUACAUUUAGAUAUUCAUUUAAAAUGGGAUUUACCGGUUAAUCAAACUCUUUCUGAAAUUGUUGAGUUUAUAUUGAGCUCUGACGUUGUCAUAACCUACCACGACGAUUGGAGUCAGAAAAAUGGAUGUGGAUAAUUUAGUGUUCAAGAGAUCACAAUAAAUGGUAAAUAUCGUGCUUUUCCUACCCUUCCCGUUUCAUCUGAGACUAGAGAUAAUCUAACUCAUCCAGAUACUUACACUUCUUAAUAUUUUAUCAAUCGUCAGCAAUGGCAGGUAUAAUCCAAAAAAUAUUCAAGACAAAAUAACAUUCAAUCUCACUGAUGAAGUUAGUCACAAUUUUGGGAUUGAAGAAAUGGUUGCUCUUGAGUUAGGAACAAAUCAUAUUCCAGAUCACCUUCUAUGCCAUACAAAUCCAAUGCUAAUGUUUAACCGUGAACUCGUCAACCUUUUUAGAGUAAUUGAGGAAGGAAUAAGCUCAGAAAAAAUAUAUAGUAAGUUCCUGACGACUGCUACGAGUCAGCAUAAUUGCAUCACUGAAUAAUUUAUCCAUUGUAUUACCAAUCUUUUCAGUCCAGAUUUUAAUCAUAAAUCAUGGAAUCAGAGCUCCCAAUUUUCUAUUUAUAUGUUAGCCUGGAAAAAUUUAGGUCCAUGAUUCCGAAAAGCACGGUUUAAUCGUUUUUUUACCUUCGUGGUGUGAUUCUUUACCUCCAUCCAUAUAUUUGGUCCUUCCUUUCAAAAUAUGAACAUAUCACUAACAGUAUGGCUUGCAGUGUGAGGUCAUUUGAGGACGUCGAUUUUCUGAAAAUCCAUUUGGCAGUGAGGGCAUUGAUAGGCAUUCAGUUAAUUUAACCUUUUCUAUUAAUGACAACAUCCACUAAUAUGGGAUACAAUAAAUUGACCCUUAGAAUGAAGGAACUCUAUAAUGAUCUUAAGACAACAAAUUCUAGAGAUCUUCUAAAUAUUUCCAGUCCAGCCUUUAAAUUUACGACUCUUGAGUCAUUUUCAAUCUUGUAAAUAUCGGGACGAAAUCCUUUCAGCAAUUAGUAGUGUUGUAAAUGAGCAUUCAGAUAGAAUUGAAAAAGUAAUUGCUUUUGCUCUUUCAAAAUUAGCCUAAGGAUUUCACCGACAGAGAGCAGAUGUCUUUGGAUUUGGAGAUUUUAAUUAAAACAGCAGUCUCCUUGUUCGCAAAAAGAUCCAUUCAAACUCGAAGCAAUUAACUAUUAACAACAUGGCAGCUGAAAGGCAUAUAGGCUCAGUUCAAUAUGAGUUAUCCAUUCGUGGGGGUUUUAAUUUGAGUUCUGCGAGUAACAGCAUCGUGAAGGCAAAGUCAAUUGACCUUAUAUAAUUCAAACUUGUAGAUUAAAUGAAUAAAUUCCAUAGUCAUGUACGUCAAGAUGCUGAGCUUGUGGCGAUCUAGAUAAGAUGGAAUGAUUCACAACAAAAGUUGGAAGAAAUGGGACUUAGCGUUAAAGAGGCUCAAAAUAAAGAUUGGGAUAGAACACGAAAUGCUGACUUAAACUUACUUAUGUCUAAAGGUGGUCCCUUCACAAAAUCAGAUGAAGUAAAUAAAUUCACCAGUUCUAACGUAUCAGAAAAAGCUAAAAUUGAACGGAUCUAUAUAUAAAUUUGAUACAAUAAUGCCACCAGUCUUUUUAUGGCAAGAACAUAUUCCUUAUUCAAAUUAAAAGAAAACUACAGAACAUUAUCAGUUGAUAGAUAUGCAAAUAAUUUAAAAACAUGUCUAUCAAAUAUAUUCUAUAAAGCUAAAUUUAACAUGGUAUAAUUUUGAUGUAGUUAUAGAUAAUUUAUCUGAAUAAACUUUAUAUAAUA